CUUGAGCACUUAGUACAGUGCUCUGCACAUAGUAAGCGCUCGACUGGUCGAUCGACUGAUCUUCAUUUCUCAAAGAAGACAGUGGUGGCAGUGGGAACGGGUUACCAGACUCCCAAAGGAACAGCCAGAAUCAACCCAGUUCUUCCAGGAGAACAAGGGAGACCAAGGAGAUCAAGCCUUGUGAUGACCUCAAACUCGUGAAGGUCCAGUGGAGCCACCCUGCUUCUCCUGCCUCCAGAGUGUGGUAAUGCAGGUGGAGACCUCAACUCUUCACCACCACCACCCCCUGGACUCCUCACCAGAUCACACCCCCACCUCACCGAGAGGUCCAGCAGGGUAGACUCCUGUUCUACGGGCCAAAGCCCCAGCAACUGGAUCGGAAGCUUGGAGGCAGAAAUCAUGUCCUUCAACUUUUUGAAGCACACAUUAAGCGCUCAAUAAAUACGAUUGGAUGAAUUGAGCUAAUGCACCCGGCAGAUACUGAAUAAAUGCUGUUGGUAUUGAUGUAAGAGGCCUGGACAUAGAAGUUGCUGUGAUAAGUGAUACUACAUAGAAAAUGAGGACAGAGAACAGCGUGAUAUAAUCGAACUCUACUGGCAAAGUUCAGCGAUGGCAUGAAAUGGACACUUAUAGAACCACAGGCCUUCACUUCCAAAUAAAGCACGAGCCGUCUGUAGUGCUUCUCAA